rnacentral:rRNA from 1 species
GGCUAUUAUGAAAAUGUUUAUAGUCUAGCCUGCUCACUGAUAGUUAAUAUUAAAUAGCCGCGGUAUCUUGACCGUGCAAAGGUAGCAUAAUCAUUAGUUUUUUAAUUGAAAACUCGUAUGAAUGGUUGGACAAAGAAGAGACUGUCUCUUUUAUUAAAGUUGAAUUUAACUUCUAAGUGAAAAGGCUUAGAUUUUCUAGAGGGACGAUAAGACCCUAUAAAGCUUUAUAAAUUUAAAAAUUUUAUAUAUUUUUAGAUAACAAUAAUUUUUCGAAUAUUUAUUUGGUUGGGGCGACAAUAGUAUAAUAAGAGUAACUGCUUUUACAUGAAACAGAGAUAUCUGAAUUAUGAUUAAUUGAUCCUUUUUAAAGAUUCUGAGAUCAAGUUACUUUAGGGAUAACAGCGUUAUUUUUUCUGAGAGUCCUUAUCAAAGAAAAAGAUUGCGACCUCGAUGUUGAAUUAAAAUGUCUAUAUAGUGCAGCAGCUAUAAGAGAAGGUCUGUUCGACCUUUAAUAUUUUACAUGAUUUGAGUUCAGACCGGCGUGAGCCAGGUC